rnacentral:rRNA from 1 species
UACGUAGGGUGCAAGCGUUGUCCGGAAUUAUUGGGCGUAAAGAGCUCGUAGGCGGUCUGUCGCGUCUGGUGUGAAAAUCCAGGGCUUAACCCUGGACCUGCAUCGGGUACGGGCAGACUAGAGUGCGGUAGGGGAGAUCGGAAUUCCUGGUGUAGCGGUGAAAUGCGCAGAUAUCGGGUAGAACACCAGUGGCGAAGGCGGCUCUCUGGACGGUAACUGACGCUGAGACGCGAAAGCGUGGGGAGCAAACAGG